rnacentral:rRNA from 1 species
AUUGAACGCUGGCGGCAGGCCUAACACAUGCAAGUCGAGCGGAUGAAGGGAGCUUGCUCCUGGAUUCAGCGGCGGACGGGUGAGUAAUGCCUAGGAAUCUGCCUGGUAGUGGGUGAUAAUGUCCGGAAACGGGCGCUAAUACCGCAUACGUCCUGAGGGAGAAAGUGGGGGAUCUUCGGACCUCACGCUAUCAGAUGAGCCUAGGUCGGAUUAGCUAGUUGGUGGGGUAAAGGCCUGCCAAGGCGACGAUCCGUAACUGGUCUGAGAGGAUGAUCAGUCACACUGGAACUGAAACACGGACCAGACUCCUACGGGAGGCAGCAGUGGGAGAUGUUGGACAAUGGGCGAAAGUCUGAACCAACCAAGCGGCGUGUGUGAAAAAGGUCUUCGGAUUUGAAAGCACGUUAAGUUGGGAUGAAGGGCAUUAAGUUGUUACCUUGCUUUUUUGACGUUACCAACAGAAUAAGCACCGGCUAACUUCGUG